rnacentral:rRNA from 1 species
UACGUAGGGUGCGAGCGUUGUCCGGAAUUAUUGGGCGUAAAGGGCUCGUAGGCGGUUUGUCGCGUCGGGAGUGAAAUCCACUGGCUUAACUGGUGGCUUGCUUUCGAUACGGGCAGACUGGAGGUAUGCAGGGGAGAACGGAAUUCCUGGUGUAGCGGUGAAAUGCGCAGAUAUCAGGAGGAACACCGGUGGCGAAGGCGGUUCUCUGGGCCUGUACUGACGCUGAGGAACGAAAGCGUGGGGAGCGAACAGG